GUAGGUAAAUAUUAUAUUUGCUGACAAUAUAUUUUGCAUAGGUAAUCAUCAUUAUUUUCAACGCAAAAUUUGUGUCGGUAAUAGUUGCAAAUAUAAAAUCCGACGAACCUAUUUUCCUCCGUACAUUUUCAUCUCCCGCCCCCACCCUCCUAUUUCCCCCAAACUGGUUCUCUGUCAGACCUACUCCUACACCCCCAUUUCCCUCUCUCCCUCCCUCUCCC
rnacentral:lncRNA from 1 species